CCUACGGGUUGCACCAGUGGGGAAUAUUGGACAAUGGGCGAAAGCCUGAUCCAGCAAUGCCGCGUGUGUGAAGAAGGUCUUCGGAUUGUAAAGCACUUUCGACGGGGACGAUGAUGACGGUACCCGUAGAAGAAGCCCCGGCUAACUUCGUGCCAGCAGCCGCGGUAAUACGAAGGGGGUUGGCGUUGCUUGGAAUGACUGGGCGUAAAGGGCGCGUAGGCGGUUUAUGCAGUCAGAUGUGAAAUCCCCGGGCUUAACCUGGGAACUGCAUUUGAGACGCAUAGACUAGAGGUCGAGAGAGGGUUGUGGAAUUCCCAGUGUAGAGGUGAAAUUCGUAGAUAUUGGGAGGAACACCGGUGGUGAAGGCGGCAACCUGGUUCGAUACCGACGCUGAGGCGCGAAAGCGUGGGGAGCUAACAGGAUUAGAUACCCGGGUAGUC
rnacentral:rRNA from 1 species